rnacentral:rRNA from 1 species
UUUAGCAGUGAGGAAUAUUGGUCAAUAGCCUAACGGCUGAACCAGCAACUUGGAGGAAUGUAUAGCAAUAGCUACUUGCAUCAUUGUAAAUAUGAUGCAAGAUCGACUAUGUCGAAUAAAAUUCUAGGUAGAAUUAUGAUAAUGACAUUGUCUGCCUAUGUGUCUUGACCAAAUUACGUGCCAGCAGUCGCGGUAAUACGUAGAAGACUAGUGUUAUUCAUGUUUAAUCGGUUUAAAGGGUACCUAGACGGUAAAUCAAGCCUAAAAGGAAAUAAAUGAAGGGACUAAUUUACUAGAGUUACUUAUGAGGGGGUAUUAAAGUACUGCUGGUGUAGAGAUGAAAUUCUGUCAUACCUCUUUUCAAUAGAAAAAUAAUGGCACAGGUAUAGGCGAAAGCAUCCCCUUAUGUGAUAACUGACGUUGAGGGACGAAGGCUUUGUGUAGCGAACAGGAUUAGAUACCCCAGUAGUCAAAGCAGAAAAUGAUGAAUGUCAUAGAUUAGAUAUAUAAGUUUAUUCUAUAAAUGAAAGUGUAAGCAUUCCACCUCAAGAGUAAUUUGGCAACAUUGGAACUGAAAUCAUUAGACCGUUUCUGAAACCAGUAGUGAAGUAUGUUGUUUAAUUUGAUGAUCCGCAAAAAACCUUACCACAAUUUGAAUAUUUAUAUCUUUUAUUGUUUUUCUUUUUAACUUUUUCUAAUUUUCUACUUAAAAGAAAAAAAAUAACAAGAAAAAAGAGACAAUAAGAUAUAUUUACAAGCGUUGCACGGCUGUCUUCAGUUAAUGUCGCGAGACUAUGGUUAGUUCCAUUAAAUUAACGUAAACCCUUACUUUAUUUUUAUAUAGAGUAGUUCCCCGCUAUAUUGGAUAUGAUAACAGGGACUAAGACAAGUCAUCAUGGCCUAAAUAUUGUGGGCUAUAGACGUGCCAAUAAAA